CAGCCUCCAAGAUCAAGAUGAGUAAGCUUGUCAAGAUGUUGAAAAUACUAAGGAAUUUCAACCAACCUUUCGGUCCGAUUUUCGGUUUUCGAUUUUUUGAACCCACCCCUAUGCUUUGUCCCACCAUUGACAUAGUUAUAUUGGCUUCCUUGGAAACUCUUUUCCAUGAAAAAAAAAUCCAUUUCGUCACACAUACCACAGGAAUAUUGCUCAAAUUUAAUAUCUAUGUUGUAACUCCAAAUUUCCAAUUACAAGUUAUGUUCGUACUCAUAACUUACAGUUUACACGUAAGCAACCGUUCUUAGCAUUUGCAAAUAAGAAGGUGCAACUAUUUAUAUUAAAAAAUAGUUAGCAGCACAUAAAUUGACAUGUACUUUUAUAAAAUUCGAGAAAUUUGUCUCGGUGGUCGAGACAUUUGCUACAACUAAGAACAAAAGAAGCUCCCACAACACAGUUGCACACUUCAAUGCAGAAUGGCCGGCGACAUAUGCCAAACUAACAUAUACAAUUACAAAAAAAUGGAAACUAGACAAGGCUGUAGCUCCAAUUAAGAAUGAAUUACAUUAUUUGUCGAUGUUUACCAAUUACAUCAAUUACUAGGGCCAGUUCUUUGAUUUUGAUUACUUCAAAGAUCCCUAAUCUUUUAUUGAAUGGACCUUUCCAUGCACAUCAUGCAAUACGAGAAGUUUGGGGACUAAUUAAAUAGUAAAAAUGAUGCUAAAAAAGGAUCAAUCAAAAUGCCUUAAUUGUACCAACUAAUAGAGUUAUUUAAAGGGUUCAUAAUCAUAUUUUAGAAUACUAAUCAUUGAUCGUCUCGUUAAAGAAGAAGAGGACGUGAAACCGACGAAACGCAGCACAACACCGUCGUGGACAUGAGCUGCUUAUUGGUCAUGAUAACAGUAUAUAAUCUAUGGGGGUGUUUAGAUUAUGAAUUAGGUUUCCUCUUUAACCGAAUUUACAAAACGAUGUGCAGCUGCAGUUUACAAUCUGACAAUAUAACAUAUCAAAUAUAUGGCAAACAAAUCACUAUGAUUUCUAAAUUGUAACUUCCUUCUCAAUCUUGCAUUAAUUUGUACCUUUCUCUAUGUGCAUGCUUUUGUUUCCCCGUUAUGUACAGGUUGACAAAUCGAAAACAUAGACUUGCCAAUCAACUCUGAUUUCUAAUUGUAUUUGGUGUAGUAAUGCCUAAUGGGCCGGGCUUAUUAGAACCAGUGGCAGUUUUGAAAUAUCACAACAAAUACAGUACCAUUUUUGUAACAAAAAAUCAAAACAAAACAAUCGAUUAACGACGGUCGCUUUUUUACCUCAAAAUAUUGGCAUCUCCGUCGUGUUCUGAUUUUCCUCCGAAUCGGAGAAGAAAGGCAACCAAAUUCCCUGUACGUCAUCGUUUUCUAGGGCAUCGAAAUCUUGGUCCUCUGAAUUCGUGGUUUUGUGAUUCUUCCCGACGCUCCUCAAGCGUACGGCAGCCUGAGCGCGGCGCUCUCGAUUGAUUCCAUAGUCUGAUCUUCCUCGAAUCGCAAUCGGACGGUGGCGAUGGCGUCGGCGCAGGGCCAGAUUAGUGGCAUUGAAGCCGUCGCUUUCUCCCAGGCUCCGGUGUCCCCAAACAGACAUGGGCACAUGCAGACCAGAGGCAGACUGGUUUCCUUGGUCGGGCAGAUUUUAUACUACAGUUAGUAAGGAAAAGCAGCAGGCCAAUCAGCAGACACCCAGAGUACCAGAAUUGGAGAAAUGUCAUGUAAAUCAACCGAGUACAGAGGAGGUUAACUCACUGAACUCAAGUUCAAACAAGCAACCGAAGCUGAUAAUAAGGUACUAGAACUUUAAUGUUUCCCCAAUUUUUUCAUCUUGGGCAGCAAAGUUAUGUGUGCAUGUUACUUCCUGAUAAGUUUCAAAUCAUAACAAAUAUGCCAAACUUGGAGAAAGAAAUUUUGGAUGCUAGAGAGAAAAUUGAAUAUUUCUGGGUCAAAGUUCAGCCAUCAAACUUGUAAUGUAUUGUUUGUUUUUCAUUUCCUUGUGUAUGCAACUCACUUUUUCUUCAUUCUUUUUUUUCCUUUAGCUUUAGCGCGACGUAUAAUUUUUCUCCUUAAUUUUGGAAUGUUCCUAGUCCUAUUGAAGCGAAGGCCCCUAUAGUUUUAUCGUUGUUACAAAAUUGAUGAUUGUACUAUUAAAUUGGGGCUGUGCUUCUUUUUUUUUUCAGCCUUAAUUUGCUGUAAUUUUUUACCCUCUCUAAUAAAAUUUGUUUCGCUGA